CUGAAACUAGUGAUGGAAAUAGCUGACAUCUUCAAGAACACUGGAAGUAGCGAUUCAGCAAAGCUUCAGGGUAAAAGGCCGAGUUGAUUACUGCGACCUUCUCAAGUAAUCGUUUUCACAAGCGUAAAACGAAAGAAUGGUACUUUCUACAUAAAGUUAACAUCCAACAUCUUUAGUCCGACUGGAACAGGACCUGAUACAAAUCUCUGUGUAUUUGAUCUGCUCUGUUGUUACAUUAACGGGUGGCCUUUGAGCUGCACCGUCAAAGCAAGUCGUCCAUCUCAACCUGAGUUUGCAAGAAGGAAAAAAUCGUUGCAAUUCUUUCCCGCGUCAGUGAAGCUGAACUCCGUUACGGGCGGCCUCUGGAACUUCCGGUGCAGCACCACUGUCAUUGAGAGCACUGAAGUUCAAGAAGUAAUCUGCAUAACUUGGUAAAUGACAAAACAACGAAGCGAGCAUGAAUCGCAGAAAAUCUAGCGAGAACUCUAGAAUAUAGAUAAUAAAAUCGAAUGUACGCUUCCUUCGCCACAUCUUUUUCCAACAACGUUGGUUGUCAGUGCAAAUGUGCUGUGUGCGUAUUUAGUACAUAUGAAUAUUUGUCCAGUGCUUUUCUUCGGCAUACAUAGUAUUCAGGCGUUUAACUCGAACCGCGAACUGGGCUCGACAAAAUGGGAAUGUUGACAUCGUUGGUUACGGACUACGUAGACAAGCGUCAUGACGAGCAUGAAUUGAGCAAACAGUCGACGAUCGGCGAAUAUAUGACUAAAUGUAAGUUACAUUGAUACAUACUUGAUGUAUCA